rnacentral:lncRNA from 1 species
AAAAAAUUAGAUUCCCCGAGAGUAGCACAAGUUAUCGUUGUAAAUUCGGUGAUCCAAGUUAUCUCGUUUGUUCUUAAGUCUAGUUUCACCCUCAAUUCUUCAAUCGAAAUCAUCAACGCAAUCGACAAACCUUGAAUGUUUGUUGGAUUGUACAACACCUGUUGUACUAUCUCAAUUCCUCUCCAAGGUAUGAAUCUACUGAAAUUUCCAUCGAUUUAUGCAAAUACAAGAUGACUUUUUGAGAUUACGGAUGCACAUGGUGAAUAUUUAUGGAAUUUCUCAUUCUAUUCCAUCUCAAAUACAAUGUGAACUGAUGCUUCAGAAGCCUGCUCCAUGUCUGCUCCAUUAUGAGGGAUACAAAUGACUCAUUCCAGAAAAUCAUGAUUUUUGGUUUAAUGUGUAUAUUUCUUAUUUUCUCAUAAUCCCAAUAGAAAAUAUAUGUGUAUUUGGUUCAGCUCAAAUUCUGAUGCCAGCUAGAAGAGAAAACACCUAUUCUAUGGUGAAUUUAUUAAGCUGCACAUCAACUAUUCGUGAAAAUGCCUCCAUAAAGCUAUCACCAUGAUUUCUUAACUUUUUCACCUCCUUCCAUGUCUUCACCUCUUCCUCUAAAAAAACUCAUCUUCCCACAUCAACAUCCUGUUAAAUUAACCAUAAAUCAACAUGAACAAUUUAAUCCCAAGCUUGGUUUCAUGAAGAAAAGAAAAAUAGUUACACUAAAAAGGAAGAACACACAAGCUACCAUUGUUGUCUCCUACUUUGCACCUGGUACCACCUCACCUUGAAGUUGCUCGAAAACAAAGGAAAAAACAAAUUAAACUACAGACAGAAAGAUGGAUUUAAGGAGAAUACGGUUGAGGACGAAUAUUUAAGGGUUUUUUUAAGCAGCUUUGGUUGUCAAUGGUGAACAAAAGGUCAUGUUCUUUGUUUCUUACGAGAGAGAUAGAGAGAGAGAGAGAGAGACCCUUUAAUAUUAAAUAAUUAUAUUUAUUUUUCUUUUUAAAAAAAAAUUAAGGCAAAACUUCAUAAAUGGUCCCUGUGGUUGUGAAAUGACUGAAAUACCCUUCACUUAACGGUCAAAAGUUAACGGAGUUAGCGAAAAGGACCAUUUGUUAAAAGUUUUGAAACCAUAGGGACCAUCUGUGAGGUUUUUUGAACUUAGGGACUAAACUUGAUAUUUUUGAAAACCACAGGGACCAUUUUUGAAGUUUUGUCAAAAUUAUAUAUUUAAUGCAAUGGAUGAUGUUGUUUGCUUAUUUACAUUUACUGUGUUGUGAUACUGUACAUGACGUCCUCCGCCCCAGAACGUUUCCGCCGUUCUUGGUUUUGGGGUGUGACAAUUGGCUUGAAAUGAAAUAAUAGUCCUUGUGAGCUCAGGUUGUCGACAACUUCGAGUAGUAAGGUUGGGAGAUCGAUUGGAAAUCUAUCAAUUUUGUGGUUGGAAGAGCGCAGUUGAAUCCAAGUGGGGGAGAACCGCUUGGACUAAGGGAUUGCCUAAGGAAUGAGAUUUCAGGUUACCUUGUGUAUCAGUGGUGGCACAUGGCGGGUAUGUGAUUAGGUUGAGGUUGAGGGUUAUGAUAGAGCCUCUCUGCCCGCUCUUGUCUGAUAAAGGCUUUGGGACUCGAAGCAUGACCCAAAUACUUGAUUGGGUUAUAGUCAACUGAGGUUUCGACCCAUGAUUUAUUUGGUUGGCAAGUAGCAGUAGAAGUGUUGUAAGAUAGCGGGGUGACCAUAUCAUUCACUAGGUUGGCAGAUAGUAUAGUAGUGUUGUAAUGUGACAUCCCCAAAAUCUCGGCCAGAAAAGACUGAUUUUCANNNNNNNNNNNNNNNNNNNNNNNNNNNNNNNNNNNNNNNNNNNNNNNNNNNNNNNNNNNNNNNNNNNNNNNNNNNNNNNNNNNNNNNNNNNNNNNNNNNNGUUGUCUCCUACUUUGCACCUGGUACCACCUCACCUUGAAGUUGCCCGAAAACAAAGGAAAAAACAAAUUAAACUACAGACGGAAAGAUGGAUUUAAGGAGAAUACGGUUGAGGAUGAAUAUUUAAGGGUUUUUUUAAGCAGCUUUGGUUGUCAAUGGUGAACAAAAGGUCAUGUUCUUUGUUUCUUACGAGAGAGAGAGAGAGAGAGAGAGAGACCCUUUAAUAUUAAAUAAUUAUAUUUAUUUUUCUUUUUAAAAAAAAAUUAAGGCAAAACUUCAUAAAUGGUGCCUGUGGUUGUGAAAUGACUGAAAUACCCUUCACUUAACGGUCAAAAGUUAACGGAGUUAGCGAAAAUGACCAUUUGUUAAAAGUUUUGAAACCACAGGGACCAUCUGUGAGGUUUUUUGAACUUAAGGACUAAACUUAAUAUUUUUGAAAACCACAGGGACCAUUUUUGAAGUUUUGUCUAAUAAUAAUAAAAAAAAUAUGGUGUUUUAUAUUCAUGGAUUAUUU